UGCAAAAUUUGAGAAGCACACGAGUGAUUUUUAACCCAAAAAAAAAACAAAAAAUGACAAGCAUGGUUUUGUUUCUCUUAUUUUCUUUCAGUGCUCUCAUGUUACUUGGAGCAUAUGGUUUUACCGAUGAAAGUGAUAAGAAAGCUUUGGUCGACUUCAAGUCUCAAGUUGCUGAAGAAAGAAGAGUUGUUUUGUCCUCAUGGAAUAACUCUUCCCCUCUCUACAACUGGAAAGGAGUUACAUGCGGCCUCAAACACAAGAGAGUUACCGGUUUGAACCUCACAGGGUUCCAGUUGGGCGGAGUGAUAUCAGCAUCUAUUGGUAAUCUUUCAUUUCUCAUAUCACUUAAUCUCUCUGAUAACUCUUUCGGUGGUACCAUCCCUCACGAGGUGGGAAAUUUGUUUAGACUUGAGUACUUGGAUAUGAGCUUUAAUAAUCUUGGAGGAGAGAUUCCAGUAAAUGUAUUUAACUGCUCUAGAUUGUUGCAACUUCGUUUGCACUCAAAUCAUCUUGAAGGAAGUGUUCCUUUAGAGCUAGGGUCAUUGACGAAGCUUGUCUUUGUAUCUCUUGCUAAAAACAACUUGAAAGGGAAGCUCCCUGCCUCUAUAGGAAACUUGACAUCAAUCAUGCAAGUUAACUUUGCGGCUAACUAUCUAGAAGGAGAAAUUCCGGGUGAUAUAGCUAGAUUGACUCACAUGUUCUUUCUUGUUUUAGCAGAGAACAACUUCUCUGGUGUUUUCCCUCCUGCACUAUACAAUUUAUCGUCGCUUGAGUAUUUAUACUUAGAGGCUAAUUAUUUCUCGGGUGGCCUGAGACCUGAUUUUGGUAAGCUGCUACCAAACUUACAGUUUUUACAUCUGGGAAGAAAUUAUUUCAAAGGAGCCAUUCCAGCAACACUUGCCAAUAUCUCGACUCUUCAACUCUUGUCACUCAAUGACAACAAUCUGAUAGGAAGUAUUCUUCCUGGCUUGGGAAGAUUACAGAAUUUGCAAAUCCUGUCUUUUUCUUAUAAUCUUUUGGGGAGUCAAUCGUUUGGAGAUUUAGAAUUCCUCGGUGCUUUAACGAACUGCACCCAACUGAAAACUUUAGACGUUAGUGGAAAUAGGCUUGGAGGUCACUUGCCUACCUCCACUGCAAAUCUGUCCAUAAACCUCCGAGAUUUAGGCCUUGGAGCAAAUUUCAUAUCUGGAAGCAUUCCUCACGAUAUUGGGAAGCUGGUAAGCCUACAAAAACUUUUGUUACAAGAAAAUCAGUUAGCAGGCCUACUCCCAACCUCUAUUGGCAAGCUUCUACAAUUGGAAAUAUUUGCUCUCAGUUCAAAUAGUAUAUCAGGAGAGAUACCAUCUUUCUUAGGAAACAUCACUCGGUUGGACGUGCUAUUCUUGGAAAACAAUAGCUUUGAAGGAACCAUUCCUCUAAGUCUUAGUAAUUGUACUUCCCUACGGUACUUAAUGGUUGGGCCAAAUAAGUUGCAUGGGACUAUACCUAAGGGAAUUAUGGGAAUGCAAUCCCUAGUUGAACUACAUAUGUCAGGUAGUUCUUUGACCGGCACUCUACCAGAAGAAAUUGGAGGACUUAAACAUCCGGACUAUCUGCUGCGCGUAAUAAAUUAUCCGGACAACUUCCACACUCCUUGGGAAAUUGUCUCUCGAUGGAAUUACUUUCGCUGCAAGGUAAUCAUUUUGAUGGACCGAUUCCGGAUAUAAGAGGGUUAAAGGGUCUUAAAAGAGUUGAUUUCUCCAAUAAUAAUCUCUUCGGAAGUAUACCUGCUUAUCUUGCAAACUUUUCUUCAUUGGUGUAUCUCAAUCUCUCUAAUAACAACUUGGUGGGAAGUGUGCCAACAGAAGGAAAUUUUCGAAAUGCUUCUAUUGUUUCAGUAUUUGGAAACAAAAAUCUUUGUGGAGGCAUCAAGGAGUUCAAACUAAAGCCAUGCAUCAAUGAAGCACCAUCAACGGGAUCAAAGCAUUCCUCCUCUCUUCCGAAGAAAAUAGUGAUCGGGGUCGUCGUAUGCAUUGCUUUGCUUUUGCUGCUCUUAGUAGCUUCAUUUUCUCUAUGUCAAUUCAGAAAAAGAAAGAAGAACCGGGAAAAUAAUGAUCCAACUCCUUCCACAGUGGAGGUUUUACAUGACAAUAUAAGUUAUGGAGAGAUCCUAAAUGCGACUGAUGGCUUCUCUUCGAGCAAUAUGAUUGGGUCAGGAAGUUUUGGUACGGUGUUUAAAGCCUUUCUCCCUGCAGAGAACAAAGUUGUUGCUGUGAAAGUUCUAAACAUGCAGAGACGUGGAGCAAUGAAGAGCUUUAUGGCAGAAUGUGAAUCCAUGAAGGACAUACGACAUUGUAAUCUUGUGAAACUAUUGACGGCUUGUUCGAGUAUUGAUUUUCAAGGGAACGAGUUCAGAGCUCUCAUCUAUGAGUUCAUGCCUAAUGGAAGCCUUGAUAUGUGGCUGCACCCAGAGGAAGUAGAAGAGAUUCGUAGGCCCUCAAGAACUUUGACACUUCUUGAAAGGCUCAACAUUGCCAUUGACGUGGCUUCUGUUUUGGACUAUCUUCACGUUCAUUGUUAUGAACCUAUCGCUCAUUAUGAUAUUAAGCCAAGCAAUAUCCUCCUAGACGAUGAUUUGAUUUCCCAUGUUAGCGACUUUGGUCUCGCUCGUCUUCUCCUCAAGUUCGAUCAAGAGUCUUUCUAUAACCAACUAAGCUCAGCUGGUGUUAGAGGAACCAUCGACUACGCCGCACCAGAAUAUGGAAUGGGAGGACAGCCAUCAAUACAUGGUGAUGUAUAUGUUGGAUAAUUCCAACUUGAAGAACAAGCUAUCUCCUAGGAAGUUGCCUUAAGAGAUAGAAUAGGAAAAGGAAAAGUUCCUAAAGUCUUAAGUUGUAAUAUGUUAAUCCUAAUAGGUUUAGGAAAAGAUGAAACAUAUAAAUAUAUGAGUCUAUGGAGAGGUGUUCCAUGAGACCAGAGAGACUUGAGAGAUUUAGUUUUUGAGAAGUUUUCUAAAUCAAUA